GACGAACGCUGGCGGCGUGCUUAACACAUGCAAGUCGAACGGACAGGCUCCAGCUUUCUGGCGUGGAUCAGUGGCGAACGGGUGAGUAACACGUGAGCAACCUGCCCCUGACUCUGGGAUAAGCGCUGGAAACGGCGGCUCAUACUGGAUAUGAGAUGUUUCCGCAUGGGGACCUUCUGUAAAGUUCGUCGGUUGGGGAUGGGCUCGCGGCCUAUCCGCUUGUUGGGGAGGUAGUGACGGACCACGGCUACGAGGGCUAGCCGGCCUGGGAGGGCGGACGGGCACAAGGGGACUGAGAGACGGCGCAGAAUGCUACGGGAGGCAGCAGGGGGGAAUAUUGCACAAUGGGCGAAAGUCUGAUGCAGCGACGCUGCGUGCGGGAUGCCGGCCUUCGGGGUGUAAACCUCUUUCAGCGGGGAAGAAGCGAAAGUGACGGUACCUGAAGAAGAAGCACCGGCUAACUACGUG
rnacentral:rRNA from 1 species